rnacentral:rRNA from 1 species
CCGCGGUAAUACAGAGGGUGCGAGCGUUGUUCGGAAUUACUGGGCGUAAAGCGCGCGCAGGCGGGUCCUGUAAGUCUGAUGUGAAAGCCCUGGGCUCAACCUGGGAAUUGCACUGGAUACUGGCAGGCUAGAGUGCGGUAGAGGAUGGCGGAAUUCCCGGUGUAGCAGUGAAAUGCGUAGAGAUCGGGAGGAACAUCUGUGGCGAAGGCGGCCAUCUGGACCAGCACUGACACUGAGGCACGAAAGCGUGGGGAGCAAACAG